rnacentral:rRNA from 1 species
UACAGAGGGGGCAAGCGUUGUUCGGAAUUACUGGGCGUAAAGGCGCGUAGGCGGCCUGCUAAGUCGAACGUGAAAUCCCUCGGGCUCAACCCAGGAACUGCGUCCGAUACUGGUUGGCUUGAAUCCGGGAGAGGGAUGUGGAAUUCCAGGUGUAGCGGUGAAAUGCGUAGAUAUCUGGAGGAACACCGGUGGCGAAGGCGGUUCUCUGGGACGGUACUGACGCUGAGACGCGAAAGCGUGGGGAGCGAACAGG